rfam:Mollicutes bacterium HR2 KQ78_contig000022, whole genome shotgun sequence.
UUGAAUAAGAACUUUAUGUCCAAGACUUAGGUGCUAAUAUGCUUAAUAUCCUAACGAGAUAGAAGAAAUGAUAUAAUAUAUCCUCUUUUGUCUAUGACUGAAGAGGUUUUUAUUUUGAUUG